AUUGAACGCUAGCGGGAUGCCUUACACAUGCAAGUCGAACGGAGUGGCGAAAGGGUGAGUAAUGUAUCGGAACGUGCCCAGUAGUGGGGGAUAACUACGCGAAAGCGUAGCUAAUACCGCAUACUUUUGGAGCGGCCGAUCUCGGAUUAGCUAGUGGGGUGGGUAACGGCUCACCAAGGCGACGAUCCGUAGCUGGUUUGAGAGGAUGACCAGCCAAACUGGGACUGAGAAACGGCCCAGACUCCUACGGGAGGCAGCAGUGGGGAAUGUUGGACAAUGGGGGAAACCCUGAUCCAGCCAUCCCGCGUGUGCGAAGAAGGCCUUCGGAUUGUAAAGCACUGUUGGCAGGAAAGCGGUACCUGCAGAGUAAGCACCGGCUAACUACGUGCCAGCAGCCGCGGUAAUAC
rnacentral:rRNA from 1 species